UGAAAUUGAAAUUCAAAACAUAACAAUAAGGUACGAUUAUUCGAUUUAACAAAAAGUAGAGAACAUAACAAAAUAAUCUCAACCCCGAUGUUACAAUAUUAGAGCUAUUAUUCCAAAAUAAACGAAUAGUCGACUUAAGGUCCAAAGAGACAUAAAAUCAAAGCAAGCACUCAAAGUGGCCAUAUACACCAUCUUUCAUAAACAACAUCAACAAUCACUCCUCAGUCUCAACCUGAGAACCAUAUGCACAAGGGUUCACACAGAGGAAGAUAGAAACAAAAGGGGUGAGAAUCGUUCUAUAAAAUUAUGUGGUAUAAUAACAUCAAGGAUACAAUUUAAUAUGCAAGCACAUCGUUCACACUCAAUCACAAUCACACAAUACCACGAGACAUAUACAAAAAUAAAUAUGCAAUGUUCAUUUCCUCUACUCCCAUGCACGUGGUACCAUCAUAUGAUUCAGAGUUAUUUUACUAAAAUCCUAAAACACCAGAAUGAAUUCCUAUAACACCAAACUGAAGUCCUAACACCGGACGAAGUCCUUAUUCCAAGAGACAACCAAAUUUUGAAGAUAGUGGUACAUACUGCUGGCACUUUUCUAUUUUAAUUUACAACCAGCGAAAUCAGAAUCAGAGUACACAUAAGUGGGGUACUAGUCAGAGACCUCAUAAUGCAUUUGAGUGCAGAGAGGUGUGAUUAUUUUGAGUUUCCUUGAAAACAUGCACAAAGAAAUACAUAAAAAAUAAUAUUAGGACAAGAUGCACUAAGGUAAAGAAGGGAACCGAUCAUACCUCGACAUUUG
rnacentral:lncRNA from 1 species